AUGUUUCACAAACAUGUUGCUCAAUCCGCAGCCUGCCCACGAUGUCAAGACCCGUAUGAAGAUGCUCUUCACCUCAUCUCCACCUGCGCCUAUGCAGCACAAGUUUGGUCUCGCCUGGGCCUACCUGCCCCGACCUCCCUCACUGCUCUUCACCAACAACCGCCGAUUCUGGGCCUCAACCCCAACAUCUGGCCACCGGUGGCCUUGACAGUCUCCUGGAAGCUCUGGGACUCGAGAAAUGCUCUCGUGUUCAGGAACGAAGACCACUCGCUCAGAAUAACGAUAAGAAAUAUUGUAGCUGACUUCUCUCUUUGGGUUUUCCGGUUCAAAAAGACCGAGGAUAAUAAUUCUGCAGAUAGUGGCUACAUUUUGUCUCCUCUGCAAUACCCUCUAGCUAAAAUUGUAAUCAUACUCCUGCUGUAA
rnacentral:rRNA from 1 species